UACAGAGGUCCCAAGCGUUGUUCGGAUUCACUGGGCGUAAAGGGUGCGUAGGUGGCCAGGUAAGUUUGGUGUGAAAGCUCGGAGCUUAACUCCGAAAAGUCAUUGAAUACUAUCUGGCUGGAGGGUCGGAGGGGAGACUGGAAUUCUCGGUGUAGCAGUGAAAUGCGUAGAUAUCGAGAGGAACACCAGUGUCGAAGGCGAGUCUCUGGACGACUCCUGACACUGAGGCACGAAAGCUAGGGGAGCAAACAGG
rnacentral:rRNA from 1 species